GACGAACGCUGGCGGCGUGCCUAAUACAUGCAAGUCGAACGCUGAAGGAGGAGCUUGCUUCUCUGGAUGAGUUGCGAACGGGUGAGUAACGCGUAGGUAACCUGCCUGGUAGCGGGGGAUAACUCUUGGAAACGAUAGCUAAUACCGCAUAAUAGUAGAUGUUGCAUGACAUUUGCUUAAAAGGUGCCAUUGCAUCACUACCAGAUGGACCUGCGUUGUAUUAGCUAGUUGGUGGGGUAACGGCUCACCAAGGCGACGAUACAUAGCCGACCUGAGAGGGUGAGCGGCCAGACGGGGACUGAGACACAGCCCAGACUCCUAACGGAGGCAGCAGUAGGGAAUCAUCGGCAAUGGACGGAAGUCUGACCGGGCAACCCCGCGUGAGUGAAAGAGGUUUUCGGGGCGAAAAGCUCUGUUGUAAAGGAAAAACGGGCAUGUGGGUAGAAAGUGCACACUGUGACGGUAUCUUACAAGAAAGGGACGGAUAACUACGU
rnacentral:rRNA from 1 species